CACUGCGAAAACAACAACAACAACAGAUUAACUCUGGAGAAGAUUCCUGAGCUGGUUGUGCCAGGGAGAGAGAAAUGAGAGACAAAAAUAGAACACAGGACUGCUUGACCUAUUAGGUGUCACCCAAUGGUAAUUUAUUAUUGUAAGCAAGAUCUCUAUCAGAAUGUUAACAUUUGCUGUGGGUUCUGCUUUUAUCUGUCUAUGGAAUAAAGAGGCUACUCUGAGAUUGUAGAAUAAGACGGACUUGGUGACCUUUUCAUGUGCCUCAGUUUGAUUGCCCUAGCUACGACCAGUGGGAAAAUUUAUCCCGCUUCAAUAGAGCCCAUUAAACUACAUCUUGCAAAACCUUUACCUGGUUAUUUACGUAAUUAAUUUUUUUGCAACCCCAUUCCUCUCCUCUGUUACAGUCAGCAACAAACUCAGAGGCAUAAAAACCCCAAACUUAUUAAGAAAUUUCUCUGAUGCUGAGAUGCGUGCUGUUUGGUGGCCGAGUCAUAAUAAAAGUAUACUGCAUGUGACCUAACCAUUGGUUAUGUGUAUGCAAUGACCUCACUCCCACAUUGCACAAAUGAUAGUAUGAGCAGGAGUGAAGGCUUUAGCAGAGCAGCACAGCCACUUAAGCAGUUCAGCACUCACUUUAAGAGAAAAAGCUUUCUAAUUUCCCCACCCAUGUGAAUAGAAAAAGACUGCUCUGUCAGUGUUUUUUCCUAAUGUAUCUCAAUCCUGGAGUUUCUGAGAAUUAUGUAGCAUCUGAUCUCUGACAGACUUGCUUGCUGUUUACACUGAGAGGUGGUGUGUGUGUGUUGAUGUAUAAAGAGCUACUAGCCUAUGGCUUGAAUGGGAGAAACUGGUGCAUAAUAUAGAAGGUUUGUGCCAAUAUAAUAAGCUUGGAUGUAAAGAAAACCCAGAGGAACGUGCAAGAUAAAGUGGGGACUGCACAAAUGUUUCAGGGUACAAAUCAUAUGGAAACUUGCCAGGAUAUACUCUAAAUGUGUGCACAAGCCAUCAAAAUGUUGGGAGGCAGUACUGUAUGGAAAACUAAAUGGUCUAAAAUUUUGGAAUUUGGGCAACAUAAUAAGACUUAAAGAGGACCCAAGUGGAAAAUCAUUAUGAAAAACCAUAUACAGGUGGAUAGAUCCAAUGAGAAAAUGACAUGUGCUUUCUGGUUAGAUGAAACAUGUGGGAACUGGGGCAUAUGGUAUUCACGAGACAUUAGAUACUGUCUGUGCUAGAUGAUUCAGCACUUUUUUCCCCUUUGGCUCAGCUCCAGCAUAGGCUACAAUGGCUUCCGAAGCCAAUAGUCUUGAUGCUUGCUUGGAAAAUAAAACAGAGUCUUUUGAUGCUUGCUUUGACAAUAUGAUAGGGCUGCCAUACAUCCAGGUCUCAAAGGCGUAAAUGACGUCCGGGGGAAAUUUCCGAAAUGUGGUGCUUAGUCCUGUAUCUUAGGCAAGUCAAUCUUUGUAAAAAAUAAACAAAUAAAUAGCUCCAGAACUUUGGGGUUUCCUAAAAAGAAUCUCAACCAUUUUCGGGGUGUCCUGGUUUUUACUUUUUGAAAUAUGGCAACCCUGGGACGCGGGUGGCGCUGUGGGUUAAACCACAGAGCCUAGGACUUGCCGAUCAGAAGGUCGGUGGUUUGAAUCCCUGCGACAGGGUGAGCUCCCGUUGCUCGGUCCCUGCUCCUGCCAACCUAGCAGUUCGAAAGCACGUCAAAGUGCAAGUAGAUAAAUAGGUACCGCUCCAGCGGGAAGGUAAAGGGCGUUUCCGUGCACUGCUCUGGUUCGCCAGAAGUGGUUUAGUCAUGCUGGCCACAUGACCCGGAAGCUGUACGCUGGCUCCCUCGGCCAAUAAAGCGAGAUGAGCGCCGCAACCCCAGAGUCGGUCACGACUGGACCUAAUGGUCAGGGGUCCCUUUACCUUUUUACAAUAUGAUGAGGGUCAAGGUGGCAUAUACAGAGUAGACAAAAGGAAAGGUGUUAGUGGCUCUUUCUAAUUCAUAAAGCUUUUCAUACAGUGUUGCAAGCCCGCUCUGAAAGGUUCCCUCAGCCCUCCGUGAGCUCUGUGUACUCAUGGUUUAUCUUAUCUGGAACAUACUUGCACAAAAAUGCAAGGGUUUGGCAGGGCUUAGGCUCUGCAGUACGCACUGGAACAAGCCUGGCCCAAUACCUGUUAGAACGAGGAUUAACAUUAUCUGAAUAUUAAACCUGGCCCCAUUUAGAAAUGUAUGAAUAAAACACAAGAAAAAAAUGACACAUUAUCAAAAGUGUUUUAUGUUAAGAAAGAAAAAUGCUUCACCAUGGCCCAGCCUAAUUUGCCUUCUUAAAGCACAAUUCUAAUCAGGCUUACACAAAAGUCAGUUUGACCAAGUUCAAUGAGAGUAUUGCUAGACUGGAGUUUACAGGUCAAGCCUACAACUCUUGACAGCGCCCACACCAUGUCAUCUUUAUCAAAAUGCCAGUCCAUACUCUUUAUUUCCUUCUUUCCUUUCAGUUUAAUCCAGAUUUCCCUGUAGAUGGAAAAUCCAUUAAGUAAAAAUAAGUUUUAUACAUCUCUAGUCACUGUUAGUGUAGAGGUCAUUAGUACAAUAUUGUGGGGUGUGGGCAACAACAACAACCACAACAAAUGAAAGUGGAUGCUCAGACCCUCCAAGUGCCUCUAUUUUCCAGGGACAGUCCUGGAUUUACAGUAGCUGUCCCAGUUUCUGAUUUGAUCCCGGAAUGUCCCACUUUGCCUUAGGAUGUCCCUAUUUUCAUUGGAGAAAUUUUGGAAGGGAUGGAUGCUGCUCCCCUCCCCUUCAAAGCACAAAUCUCCAUUUUGCCAAUUGUGAAGCAAGAUUGAUAACUAAGGGCUGGUAACAUUUGCUUUUGCACUCUUCUGAUGUCUUUCUCUGUUUGUCUUUAUUUAUUUAAUGUGCUUGCACAAGUACACAAAUACCUGUGUGCAUGACCAGAAUGGGCAAGUGUAUUGAGGAGGGGCAAAAUACACAGCAUGGAUACGUUCCUUCAAGCACCACCUACUGUGUGGGCAGUAAGUGAUGAACAGCAAUGAAUAUCCACAACUGGGGGGGAAAGAAUGUGUGGAAGUUAACAUGCCAGUCAUUCACACACUAAAAAUGCAUCUGAGGAUGCAUUUGUAACACAAAGCCCUGCCUGGAGGUACCCUUGCCCUAUGGUACAUGUGCUUAGGAUCACUGCCUUAGUAAAAGAAUCAUUCAGCACAGUAUAUUAUUUUAUGUUUAAUAACACUUUGUUAUAAACGUCUUUUUUCCAUGGUGUAAAUAUUCCACAAUCUGGCAUGGUUUUCCUUCCUGAUUAAUUAUGCUAUUUCCCCCUCCAAAAGUCUGUUGAGAAAUUUACUCUUUUAUAUUCCUUAAUUCUUUGCACAAGUUCAAGGAAUCAUAGAAAAUUAAAGUUGAAAGGGACCCUGGGGCCAUCCAGUCUAACCCCCUGCAAUACAGGAAUCUUUUGUCCAAUGUGGGGCUCAUACCCACAACCCUGAAAUUAAGAGUCUCAUGCUGUACCCACUGAACUAUCCCGGUGGAGAUUCAACAUAUUAUUUUCAACAGUCUGCAUGCUGUGGAAAAAACACACAGAAAAUACAGAUAUAAACAGAUGGUUGCUAGCUGUAAAUGUAAUUCUAGUCAUUUGAACUAAGUUAUAUUAAAGAAGAGUUUGGAUUUAAGAGGCAUACUCCUGGAUGGAUGAACUGGUAACAAGCACUUGCCAUUUAAAAGCCCCACACAGACAUGCCAGUUUUAAGUAAUACUUCUGAGAGAGACCAGCUACUCCAGCAGAGGAUUUCUAGGAGCAGAAAUCAGGAAAUGGUUAAGUAAAAGCAGGUGGAGCACUUUGAGAGCAAAGCAGGAAAUAGCAGUGUGUCUGAAUGCAUUCAAAAGAAUGUCUCUCCCCCUCAGCCUUUGGGCAGCUGCAGUGACUAGCUAUCCACCCACGCCGCCUCCUCCUCCGCUGCCCUUAUCUCUAUCGGCCCCUGAAGACACACAGUCUUGAAGGCCACAAACACCAUUGGCCUGAGUAAUCCUCUGCAAUUCUGAGCCAGGCCCUGGGAGCAUUAGGAGGAAGCUGCCUGGAAGGCAGAAGAAACAAGAGACCCACCCAGUGCAUUAAGGGCUGAAUGAGCAAGAAAACACCCUGUAAGUGCCAGAAGCUGUUUCCUGAAAGAAGCUGCCUAAAGCCGAAUACUCCCGAAAAACAAAACAAAAUGAAUACUCGGGAAAAUUAUAACACAUUUGGAACAGGCUACUUUCAGUCUUACAGGGCUUUAAAUGUAAGGAAUCACUUUCUUCUAAAAACAACGCUCUCUGAGAUGGAACCCAGGAACUGUUAGUUUCCCCCGUUUGGAAUAUGUUUUCUUUCUAAUAACAGUUUAGAAUGACGAAUAUUCAUAGUGCAGUUGUACCUCAGUUCCCGAAUGCCUUGGGAGUCAAAUGUUACAGCAACUCAACAAUUGAAAACUGGAAGUGAGUGUUCUGGUUUUCAAACAUUCUUUUGGAAGCUGAACGUCUGACGAGGCUUCUGCGGCUUCCAAUUGGCUGCAGGAGCUUCCUGCAGCCAAUCAGAAGCCAUGCUUUGGAAGUCGAACGUUUUGGAAGUUGAACGGACUUCGGAACAGAUUCUGUUCGACUUCCGAGGUACAACUGUAACGGAUAACUGUUACAUCCAUCAGAUGACAGAGCAGCAAUUGCAACAGCAGAAGCUCCCAAGUUCUAAAUAUCUUGCUUUCCCACCUCAAUCCAGCUGUAUUCAUUGUAAAGGCAAGAUGGCUGUGUCCCAUUAGUAUGAAAUUCAAUAUGGGGAACCUACCUUGUGAGAAAUUUAUCUAACUUUCAGAGAAAGCCAAUUAAACAUGGUUGAAUUAGUGUAGAAUUUUUGCUUCAAACUUCAGACAUUCCACUGACUUUCUGCCCCCGAACACCAGUGUUCAUUUCUCUCUUUGCCAGCUAAGCUAAUGCUUUUUAAAAUGAAAAGAAAAGGGAUAUUGCACGGGUGAGCCUUCCACCCUCACUGCUUGGAGGGAGGUUAACUUUAUAUUCCCAAGCUUUCGGGGUUUUAAAGCCCCCAGUUUAAUCUGUCAUUGUACUUGUCAAGGCAGGAGGCUACCAGGGCACGGAUCCCUGUGAGAAAGCCAUGCGGGUCCAAGAAUGGCUACAGCUGGCAAGCUAGGUGUAACUGGAAAAGUGGGACUUUGCUUACUGUGAACUUAUGUUCCCAGUGACACAUGGAGGGUAGUCCUGUCAUUCUCAGGCUUGCUCAACGGGCAAGAUCAAGUGUCUUCAAACUGGUCCUCAUCUGGGGAACGAGCCUAUGUCUACCCAAGAUGCCACCCAUUUGGGCGAUGCCACCCAAGUGCAUGAGCCUUCUAAGGAGUUGCUUUAUCAAUUGCCAGGAUCCAACCCUUCCUCAUCUGAGGUUUGACAAGAGAAUACAAAGAGAAUACAAAGAUGGACCUUGGCUUCUUUAAGAAUUUCAUUAUUUCCUAAGGAGGAUGGGAGCUUGCAUCAUUCUAUAUGGCACCGUCAUGCUCUAGAAGUUGUUGGAACAAGUUAUCUGCCAGGGAGAUUUCACUACCCACGGAAUUCUGCUUUCUAUGGCCCAGGUCCAGUGCCCCUUGCUUGAUGUUACAUGAUGCUGUGCUUCACACUGCAGACUUCUUGGCAAGGACUGGUGUGUCUGGGUGCGUGCAUGCAUGCACACGUCAUCUGAUUACUUUAUUGGUAGUGGUGAUCGAUUGCAGCCCAAGGACUACAUGUAACUUUUAUAUGCCAUGUGAUACGUGUAGUCAAUUUUUCCUGUCUGGAAAAUAGCUGUUGUGUAAUUUCUGUUCCGCUUUUCCAGCCAUUGAGUGCACCCAUUAACUGCUCUCACAUAGCCAGGGGCCAGGGGUAUCAUGCACCCAUCUCAGUUCUACUCCAAAAUUAUGCCACUGUGGCCAUGCUCAAUAAUCAUGCAGCUUUCCUAGCAGGCUGCAUUCUGUGGCUCAUCUGUUUCUCCUCCCAGCAACAAGAGGUAUCUGUGGUCUCCCAGAUGUUGCUGGACCACAACUCCCACCAUCCCUGGCAAUUGGCCAUGCUAGCUGUGACUUAUGAAAACUGGAGUUAAAGAACAUUUAGAGGGCCACAGGCUCCCUAUCCCUGCUCUGCACCUGGAAAUGGACACCUUGCCCCAGGGGAGAACUUUGGUAAUUUGGGGUAAUAUGGUGUCCUGAGUGAGGCCAAAAUUUGGCACCCUCAAAUGGGUCUUCUCAAUUAUGGAUCUCCUUCAUUUUGUGCCUCCUCGGCUCAGCACCCUGUGCUGGGGAACUGCCCGUACCCCUCUAAAUCUGACACUGCUCAUUCACUUCUGUUCAAUGUCUUCACUCUCUGGGUAGAUUAAAGGUAAAGGUAAAGGGAUGCCUGACAGUUAAGUCCAGUUGCGAACGACUCUGGGGUUGUGAUGCUCAUCUCACUUUACUGGCUGAGGGAGCCGACGUUUGUCCACAGACACUUUUUCCGGGUCAUGUGGCCAGCAUGGUUAAGCUGCUUUUGGCGAAACCAGAGCAGCGCAUGGAAACACCCUUUACCUUCCCGCCGGAGCAGUACCUAUUUAUCUACUUGCACUUUUUGGCAUGCUUUCGAACUGCUAGGUUGGCAGGAGCUGGGACCGAGCAACGGGAUCUCACCCCGUUGCGGGGAUUCAAACCACCAACCUUCUGAUCGGCAAGCCCUAGGCUCUGUGGUUUAGACCACAGCGCCACUCGCACCCCCUGGGUAGUUUAGGAAGGGUCUUUAUGGUGUCUGCGCCUGAUAUAAGGAACUGCGAGUCUCACUGCUGUAACCCUUGAAUAAUGUGUGGUCCUCUUCUCUUGGGUCGGGAUAACUAUCUAAUCUCAGUUUCUUCUUUCUCCCUCUUUUCCAGGGCCCACAACUAUGAUUGAGGUCAACACUCCCUCACUGUCCCAGUAAGUACCACAGAUCCCCCUGAGGUUCUUGUAGAAGAAUCAUGACUUAAAAUUUGAGAACAAAAGCUAUCUUGCAAUUGCAUGGAAAAUGAGUUCAGCAAAAGGUAGCAGACCAAAAAACCCCCAAAACUUCUUGCUUGCAUAAAAUCCCGGAUUGUGCUUCUGCAUUGGGGCAGUUCACUUUGUGUCCAUUCUGACUUAAAAGAGGCUUUCAAUAGACUUUUGAAUGCAAGGACUAAGGGAGGGUGAGAAAUUAGAAAACUUUCCCUUAAAUCUUUGCCCUCUUCAGAGCAAGCACAGACAUGGAGAGAAUGGCAGAUAUGCAUGAGAAGCUCAGUACCUCUGACCUUGUGACCUUUGAGUCCUGUAUUCCAGGAAAUGUAUUCUUCCUUUGCCUUGCCUUCUUUUUUUUUUAAUGUUUGUAUUUACUAGGCCCCUCCUGGGAUCCCCUGGUCUUCUCUUUGCUGAUGAUCCUGUCUUGUGGCUUUAAGGGAACACAGCUAUUUGUGGAUCAGCAUUCAGACAACAUGGUUAAACAUUGCAACAAAACGGUUAAUUAAAUGUUUAUGAAGUCUCCCACAGUUCUUCCAGGGGAAAAGCAAGCAAACAACAUUGUGUAAUUCAGACCCAUUCAUCCACUUGCCUGAAGCUCCGUGACACAGUGAAAGAUUAUCUUGCAUUAAUCCUGGUUAAAUUAACUCAGUCAUUCUUCACCCACUACAAGGCAAAGGACUUCAUCAGAAUCCUGCCUAUCCAAACAUUUGUUUUGCCUAUUUCAGAAUUAUUCUUUUUUUUUUAAAGAAAAACAAACCUGCUAAGUGAAUUUUUUUAUGAAACUGCAUUUGCUUGAGAAACAAGUAGCUUUUCGGACUAUAUGCUUUCAGGUAUGUCAAAAUGGAAUUGUUCUGCCAUGUUGCACAUAUUAAUUUUUUGUUGCACAGUUGAUAGUGGAAAAACAGUUUUUCUGGGAUUUUGAAGAAUUUCAGGAGGUACCUGUUAAAAUUCAAAUAAAAACUUCAGAAGUGCAACUCGUGCAGAAUUGACUGAGAAUGGGUCAGGAUUUUCUAAUAUAUUUUGGAACAUGGCUUCUUCUUCUUCUUUAGCCUGCUCAUUUUACCAGAAAUGAGAUUUCUACACCCAGAAAAAUGAGAGUAUGUGAAUCAAUACACUUGUACUGAUUUUUAUUUUAGUUAUUACACUGCUGUAGACUCAAGUCCUGUUGCUGAUCUGCAGUUAUUGCUCACCUUCCAGCAUUGAAACAUUGAUUAUAAUCACUUUAAUGAGUAGAUUGGCAUGCUGAUAAUUUUCACAGUUGCUUCUGUAUCCUAUAUUGUAGUGUCCUUAUGUAAUAUAAAUAUUGCUUGGCAAGGCUUAUCCUUUAUUUGCAUCCAAAGGUAUUAGAAUGCUAGGAGGAAUCAUUAUUAAUUUCUUUCCACUGCAGUCUCAGCAAUAUUGCAAAGCUGUGGUUUGCACCACCCAUUUUCAGCCUGGUUUGCAUGGUGUGCAAGCCAAACUAUGGUAUACCAAGACCACAAGGAUGUGCAGGCUCCUGGAGACGAGCCUGCAGUACUUGCUCCUCUAAAGUUCUUUUUACUCUGAACUGUGGAGCAUGUUGAUUUUCCACAGAGCUGAAACACUGUCUUUUAUAUGGUUAAAUAAACAGAAUAUUCUGAACUGCAUGAAAGGAAGGCCAAACUAGACAUGAAGUGGGAGAUCCCUGUUUGGAUCUUCUAAUGCCUUUCGUUUUGCUACUGUGUGUUUGUUAAAUUGGGGUUCUUGUAUUGAGAGAAAGGGGUUAACCCUUCCCAUCAUUCUGUUUCCCCAGAUAAAUUUCCCCCAAGUUUCCUCAAGUUGCUAUUGGGCACAGGAUAGAAAAAGGUAUCUGUAUUUAUUAUUGAUUUAUAAAAAUAUUUAUAUAUCACUAUUCAUUAAAAAAUCAAAGUGGUUUACAACCACACAUAUAUGCAAUGAAAACCAUGCACAUAUUUAAAAUCAAAUAUCAACUAUUACAGAAAUCUGAAUUAUUAAUUGCUUGCACAAGCCUGGCAGCAUACAAAAGUUUUCAGCAGACAUUUAAAGAUUAAAACAAGAAUCUCUAUUGGCUGAGCAUUCCAGAGGACUGGGUCAAGGACAGCAAAAGCUCAGUUUCUUGUUGCCAUCAGAUGACCCUUGCCAACUCGGAACAACCAACAACACAGCCUUAUAUACAGUGCCCUGCAGUAAUCCAUCAUUGAUCAGGUAGUAUCCAGUCAGGCCCCAUGAACUGGAAUUAAUCCCACAACACUGGGUUUGAUGUUGGGUUGGACAUGUCAGCAGACUCUGCCACAAUACCAGUCUCUAAACCAUUGUGGGGCCAAGCAACAUUGUCUUCCAAGUGUUUAGCCAGCUAGGGAGACACUGUGUGCUCCAGAGGUCUGGCCUCCUCUGAACUACAUGGAACAACUCUGCUGGGCAGUUCCUUGAUGAUGCUGUUAGGUUGGGUAACUCCAGGAUAAACUGAAAUUGUCAGAAGGGACAGACUCGCAUUCUGUCCUUUAACACUAUUUCCAAACAGAAUGCUGCUGUGACUCCAACAUUGCAAUGCAACGGAGGCGGCAAAGUAGGAUCUCUUUGCUGUUCCCUCAGCCAUGUGGCAGGCCCAAUUAUAAGCUUGAGCACAUGUUUGGUUGGUUCUAGAGGGAGAUUGAUGCCACUUACACUCCAGCCCUCAUCCAGUCUGUUUCAUCGACCAUGACAGAGCAAAGUGAGCUUUACGGUGUUUGAAUGAGUCCAUAGGAGUGAGACUAGGGCUUCAGUAGGAUCACCUGCUCUAUCCACCGGAAAGCCUGUCAGAGCAGUCAGGAAUCUAUCAGUCUCUUGGGAUUGGGCCAUCCUAACUGGUCCCCCACCUGGGAAGAGAGAUUGACUUUGGAGGAACAGCACAGAGGAAAGAGUUAACACCCCCUCAAUUGCCGCAGCCUCAGUCAACUCCCUCCCCUGCCGCUGCUUUUAGGCUAGGAAAAAUACUUCCACAUCACAUUCAGUUUAACCAGAAACAAACACUCCAACAGUUCCUCCUUUCACUUCCAGUUCCUGGGAAAUCACUGCUCUAUUUUGUCCUUUAGUGAAAUUUGCAGGCAGGCGGAGAUUUUUUUUUUAAUGCUACUGUACUCAUAUAUCCCCCUCAAAUCUGCCUAUAUGGGCAGCAGACAUUGCUGAAUGUGUUUCAGUUGCAACUUUUAUAUAAUUAAUACAACCAACCCAUUGUGAGAAUAAACACAUUUUUAAAAAGGAAACUGUUAUAUUAAACUAACACAACUAUUCCAGAAGCUAGUGUGGGGCAGGAUAUUGCCAAAUGCAUGACUAUAGCACAAUAAAGGCAGAGCUUUAUACUAGAGGGAUGCAAGAUUGACUCUGUUUUCAUGGGGGAAAUGGGUGGGUUGUUUAUGCAAGAGAAGCAGUCUGUUGGAUGGCCAUCUGUCAUAAUGAUGUAGUUGAGAUUCCUGCAUUGCAUGGGGUUGGACUAGAUCUGGGUUCGGCAAACUACAGCCCCCAGGCCGAAUCAGGCUCGCCAGGGUUCUAAAUCCAGCCCGCCGGGCCAUUUAAGAACCUGCCAUGAAGCCGAGACUCCAGGCAACGGCGAUGGAAGGAAGAGGCCGAGUGGUGGCGUCUCUGCCAAUCAAACGCUGCACCUGGUUUAUCUCAGCAUGGUGCGGGAACGUCUCUGCCAAUCAAACGUCGUGCCGCGCUGAGGUAAACCAGGCACAGCAUUUGAUUGGCAGAGACGCCGCCACUCGGCCUCUUCCUCCUGCUGCUGCUCCUGUGGCUGCUGCUGCUCUGCAUCCCCGUGAGGGGCAGCAGUGGCGUUCCUGGAGGACAGCCGGUCUGGGCUAGGGCUUGGGGCCACUGUGGGGCUCCCACUGGUGGUAGAGGACAAUGAGGCCAGCGGCGAAGUGGCCCAGGCGGCGGCCUUCACCUCCGGGGAGCAGGAGGACGGAGGGGUGGAAACGCCUGCAUGGGGUGGCAGCUGCAGUGAGGCACCAGCUUGUCCUUGUCUCCAUCUCCGUGUUCUUUGAAGAGGUGCACUGGGCAGUGCGCGCCACACUCGGCCAGCUCCUGCAGGCUCCCUGCUUCCGAGGUGCCCAGCUCCAGCGAGCGUGCCAGCCCACUCUCCAAAACUUCCUGUCCAGCCCCCAACAGUGUCUGAGGGACAGUGAACCGGCCCCGUUUUAAAAGGAUGAGGUCCCCUGGAUUAGAUGGUCCUUGGGGUCCUUUCCAACUCUACAAUUCUGUGAUUCUAAGUAACUAGGUCAGCAUAAGGAGUGAGCUACAGAGAUCAGUUUGUUUUUAAUCUGAUUUCUCUUUUUUAUUAUUAAUAAAAAUUCAUAUAAUUUGGCUGUUGGAUGCUGAAGUGUAGUUUUGAAAACACUACGGUUCGGAUAAUAUCCCACAUACCUGGCCACUGGGCAUAUGCCACUGGGCAAAAAAGGAGGUUUCAUCGAGAAAAGAGCAGGCUGCGUGGAAUCCUAGGGUGGGAGAGGCAGCUGGAUGCCAGCCCUGUUGUCCUGAGUAAACUGAGAGGAAUCUGGCUAGGAAACACAGAGUGCAUUGUCUUGGGAGCCUGGGUUUUAGUAUUUUACAGUUCUGUCUCAUCUGUGAGCUAUAAGUGUGAAAGGGAGUGGUUGUGGCAGUGAGUAGCUGGCCGGAGGCAGCUGGCCAACCCUACAGGGCAGUUUUGCAGCAGUUGCAGAAGGAAGGGCAUAAGUAGGCUCUCCUAGCCUUUCCCCUUCCAUUAUAGAACAAAGGCUUGUUCUUGGUCUACAGCUUGAACCUGGCUUUGGACUUCCUGCUGAUCAAGCCAAACCAUGGCUCAGCACUGAGCAGCAGGAGAACCUGGAGAGGAAGGCAGCAGCUGCAAUCUCCUCUCCUGCAACCCGCACAUUACGUGCAGUCUGGGUCUAUUAUAUUUUGCUUGGGAGGGAUGAGAAAGUUUUGAAUUUUUGUAUCUUAUUAAGUUUUUUUGUUUCAGGGAAGGUUGAUUACACUGACAGAGGAAUAAGAAUGUAUUUCUAUGCUGAUAGUUCCACCCUUGGGAACUUGAGCUCUUAAAUCAUCUGCUUAAAUAUGCAUGUGUGCAUUUCUCUUAUGUUUUUACCACAUGCAAAGGUUGGAAAAAUAAUCUGUGUCUUAAAUAAGAGGGGGGGAAUGGAACAAAAACAAACAGCAAGCAAAAGAGAAAAAAGAGAGGACAUGCACACAGUGAGAAGAAUGUCAAGAGUUAAUCCCUGGUGUAAUACACUGGAGGGUAAAUUCAUGUUGUCAGAGGAACAGUUCAUGCAAGAUUUAUGUGCCCCCCCACCCUCUGGUGAACUUUAAGGUAAACCUCAGCCGGCGACUGCUGCAUUCCUCAUAAACCCCUAGCACAGCCCGCUGCUGCUUUUCCAAACUGCUUUCUCAUUAUUCAAUAGCACAUUUUUCCACAGCAUUCUGCUCUUGUUAAUACUUGCUUGCUGCAAUUUUUUUUUUAGUUCUGCAGUAAAAACACCUGUGUUUUAUUAAGACUCAAAAAUUGUGUUCCGCCUCCUUAUUUUGACUGCAGUGGCAUUAACCCUUUCAGAAGUAUGCUUUUGAGGGCUGCUGCUGAAUCUAAAAAGAAAGGCGCUUUAAAGAAGAAUGUGCCAUCAGAGAAACUGACACAGGAAAGCAUGGUUUUGUGUGGGGCUGGGGUAACUAAGGCCUUGGGUAAUGCUUGCUGCUAUAUCACAAAGUGAAGCUUGGGUGAAGGAAGGAACCCGAAGGUGUGAUCUUGCAACAGAAGGAAAGGCAGAGAUGGGGCUAGCAAACUGCAAGUUGACUACGGCCUGGUUUGCACAUCAUGGCAAGUCAAAAUAUGGCUUACAACAGGUGUGCAGAACCUUUGGCCCUCCAGAGGUUGCUGAACUACAAUUUCCAUCAUUCUUGGCCAUGGGCUAUUCUGGCUGGAGCUGAUGGGAGUUGUAGUUCAGCAACAUUUGCAGGGUCAAAGAUUCCUCGCUCCCUGCUUACCAGGCCUACUCAAAUGUGUGGGUUCCCAUAGAGGCCCCUAUAGCUGAUUUGUUUAUUUGUCUCUUUUUUUACUGGGACUCAUGUUUAAACUCUCAGCUCUCUGGGAGCCUGCAUGCUUGUGUAGUCCCAGUAAACCACCAUUUGGCUUACUGUGACAUGAGAACCGGCUCAAUGAAAGGAAAUCUGUGGUGAGUGGGACAGGUGAGAAAGGAGGGCAAGGCCUCAGAGGCUGUGGAGUCAUUGCGACAUUUUAGUAAAAGUGAGCUCUGAGAGAAAGAAUGCAAAAGUGCUUAAGGCUGAUGACCUAAUCUUUGCCUUCUUAGUACAAAGAGUCAGAUGGGUGCAAGACAGAAAGACGUGAUCCUUGUGCUGUCAGAUCUGUUCAAAUCAAACAACCGCAUGCGCCCAGAAUCAGGUACAUAGUGCUGCUCCACCCAUUUGGGUCACAGAAGGGGAAAAUUGCAAAAGCAGCACCGGCUACAUCAGCAGCACCACUCAAGGUACAACAUUUCUCAUAAAAGUCACAACGAACCUUUUCUGUUUUCAGGGAAAUACGCCUCCUGUAGCAGCAAACAGAAGCAGGAGAAAGUCUUGUGCAGAUGCAUCCUUAGUGCUGGAGUGCAGGAAUUUUGGCAAAAUGAAUUCUUCUUGAGAUAGGACUCAAGGCAUGAAGGAGCCACUACAAGAAUCGAAAACCUCUCACCUCCAGUUCCUUAACAGCUUAAUGGAUGUAGGUAACAGAAAGUUUUAAAAGGUAAUAAAAACCUUGGUGGCUUAAAUGUUUUGUUAAUUCUGUUCUGAGUUGUAUCAGAAUUACAGGGUAGUAUUGGCACCUAGUUUUUGGCAGUUGUUCCUCUCUCCACCUUUAUAACUAUUGUCUUCAGGCUACGAAGCACAUAUUAUGGCGUUCAUGAUAGUCACCUCUUACUAGUUUCUAUGCAACAUUCUUUUACUCAUAUCUAUAGGUGUUCUACAAAAAAAGAAAUUUACCUUGUAAAAAAGAAAGUUGUGCCAAAGGGCUCAUAUUCCAAAACUGCAAAAAGGGGAUGAACAAAAAUGAGCAAAAUCAGCUUUGAUGGGAUUUACCAGCAGAGUAUAUAGUAGCAUAACUCAGAGAGGUUUCAGCUCAAGGGACAUGGAACUCAUCUGUUAGAACCAUUUAUACAUGUAUGUGUCUGAAGACUAAAAUCACAGUGUUCAAUACAUGUAAACAAUGUUCAAAACUACUUCAGUGUGACUGUGUAUAAACCUGACUUGCACUUACAGAACUUCACUCAUUGUCAAAGCUGUAAUUUGCAUUUGCUUGUAUACUGUGGUUUGGAACCAUUAUAUGUCAGACUUGAAGAAUAUGCGCAAAUUAAGGUAAUCACAUGCUAUCACCACUAAUUUACAUACAAAUGUAAACAUCCAAACUCAUGAAAUAUGUUGGGCCCUGUUAUUAUGGAGAGUAAACAGCAAUGACUCGCCUGUUAUUUACACAGCCACCCAAACAGGGCAUUUUCUUCCACUGUCACCCAGCUGGGCAACACAGCAAGGGGUAUAGAAGUCAGUGUCUAACCUAUGUUCCGAAAUGGGCUCAUAAUCAUGCUUCAUAGGUGGCCUGGCCACC